UGGGGAAUUUUGGACAAUGGGCGAAAGCCUGAUCCAGCAAUGCCGCGUGUGUGAAGAAGGCCUUCGGGUUGUAAAGCACUUUUGUCCGGAAAGAAAUCCUUGGCUCUAAUACAGUCGGGGGAUGACGGUACCGGAAGAAUAAGCACCGGCUAACUACGUGCCAGCAGCCGCGGUAAUACGUAGGGUGCAAGCGUUAAUCGGAAUUACUGGGCGUAAAGCGUGCGCAGGCGGUUUGCUAAGACCGAUGUGAAAUCCCCGGGCUCAACCUGGGAACUGCAUUGGUGACUGGCAGGCUAGAGUAUGGCAGAGGGGGGUAGAAUUCCACGUGUAGCAGUGAAAUGCGUAGAGAUGUGGAGGAAUACCGAUGGCGAAGGCAGCCCCCUGGGCCAAUACUGACGCUCAUGCACGAAAGCGUGGGGAGCAAAACAGGAUUAGAUACCCUGGUAGUCCACGCCCUAAACGAUGUCAACUAGUUGUUGGGAUCAUUCCUUAGUAACGUAGCUAACGCGUGAAGUUGACCGCCUGGGGAGUACGGUCGCAAGAUUAAAACUCAAAUGAAUUG
rnacentral:rRNA from 1 species